CACGUAGGGCGCAAGCGUUGUCCGGAAUUAUUGGGCGUAAAGAGCUCGUAGGCGGUCUGUUGCGUCCGCUGUGAAAACCCGGGGCUUAACCCUGGGCUGGCAGUGGAUACGGACAGACUAGAGGUAGGUAGGGGAGAAUGGAAUUCCCGGUGUAGCGGUGAAAUGCGCAGAUAUCAGGAGGAACACCGGUGGCGAAGGCGGGUCUCUGGGCCGAUAUUGACGCUGAGGAGCGAAAGCGUGGGGAGCGAACAGG
rnacentral:rRNA from 1 species